rnacentral:piRNA from 1 species
UGGAAUUAAAGGUGUUCGCCACCAUCGCCC